rnacentral:rRNA from 1 species
GAAAGAUGAAAAGAACUUUGAAAAGAGAGUUAAACAGUACGUGAAAUUGUUGAAAGGGAAACGAUUGAAGCCAGUCGUACCUUCGGGUAAUCAGCCUUUCGGGUGCGAUUCUGUGGAGUGUGAGGAGCUUAAACACCUUCAUGUUUUGCAUAUUCGUGCUCUUGGGUGUACUUGCCCGUGUGGUUGGUUAACAUCAAUUUCGGGCACCAUAAAAUGACUGGAGGAAUGUAGCUUCGAUCUUGUAUUGAAGUGUUAUA